rnacentral:rRNA from 1 species
GACGAAGGGGGCUAGCGUUGUUCGGAAUUACUGGGCGUAAAGCGCGUGUAGGCGGUUAUCCAAGUCGGGUGUGAAAGCCUUGAGCUCAACUCAAGAAAUGCACUCGGUACUGGGUGACUAGAGGACCGGAGAGGAUAGUGGAAUUCCCAGUGUAGUGGUGAAAUACGUAGAGAUUGGGAAGAACACCAGUGGCGAAGGCGGCUCACUGGUCCGGUACUGACGCUGAGGUGCGAAAGCGUGGGUAGCAAACAGG